rnacentral:lncRNA from 1 species
AGGAGUGUAUGUAUUUACAGCGCGAAAUUAAACAGGUGCGAUCAUACCAGCACUAAUGCACCGGAUCCGAUCAGAACUCCGCAGUUAUGUGUGCUUGUGCGAGUGUAGUACUCGGAUGGGUGACCUCCUGGGAAGUCCUCGUAUCGCACCAAUUUUUUUCAGACAGGUCGUUCGACGCUACGCACGACUGGAACUAGGGUCCGCUGGUUUAUACGCAAAGGUGAGUCAAGAAGCAGGGGCAUUUUAAUCGAUAUUAGAACGAGAAGGAGAAGUGCAGUGUGAACGCACAAGGAAACAAUUGAUGGGAGGGGGAGGGAAGGAGAAGGAGUGUAUGUAUUUUCAGCACGGAAUGAAACAGGUGCGAUCAUACCAGCACUAACGCAACGGAUUCUAUCAGAACUCCGUAGGUAAGGGUGCUUGGGCGAGAGUAGUACUAGCAUGGGUUACCUCAUGCGAAGUCCUUAUAUUUCACCCAUUUUCUUGUGAAGUCCUCGUGUUGCACCCAUUUUUUUGUAGAUGAUUCUUUCGACGAUACGCGCGACUUGAAUUAUGGUCCUCAGGUUUAUUCGCAAAUGUGAGUCACGGCGCUGUAGCAUUUUACUUGAUAUUAGAACGAGAACGGGAGGUGCAGUGCGCACGCACAAGGAAAAAAAUGACGGGAGAGGGAAGAAAGGAGAAUGAGUUUAUGUAUUUGCAGCUCAAAAUUAAACAGGUGCGAUCAUACCAGCACUAAUGCACCGGAUCCCAUCAGAACUCCGCAGUGAAGUGUGCUUGGGCGAGAUUAGUACUCGGAUGGGUGACCUCCUGGGAAGUCCUCGUGUCGCACCAAUUUAUUUUCAGACGGGUCGUUCGACGUUACGCGCGUCUGGAACUAGGGUACGCUGGUUUAUACGCAAAUGUGAGUCAAGAAGCAGGGGUAUUUUAAUCGAUAUUAGAACGAGAAUGAGAGGUGAAGUGUGAACGCACAAGGAAACAAAUGACGGGAGGGGGAAGAAAGGAAAAGGAGUGUAUGUAUUUGCAGCGUGAAAUUAAAUAGGUGCGAUCAUACCAGCAGUAAGCUCCGGAUCCCAUCAGAACUCCGUAGUAAAGUGUGCUUGGGCGAGGGUAGUACUCGGAUGGGUGACCACUUGGGAAGCCUUCGUGUUGCACCUAUUUUUUUUCGGAUGUGUUGUUCGACGUUACGCGCGAAUGAAAUUAUAAACCGCUGGUUCAUUUGCAAAGGUGAGUCACAGUGCCAGGGUAUAUUACUUGAUAUUAGAACGAGAAAGAGAGAUGCAGAGUGCACGCACAAGGAAUCAAAUGAUGGGAAGGGGGAUGGAAGGAGAAAGAGUGUAUGUAUUUGCAGUGCAAAAUGAAACAUGAGGGAUCAUACCAGCACUAAUGCAACGGAUUCUAUCAGAACUCCGCAGUUAAGGGUGCUUGGGCGAGAAAAGUACUCGGAUGGGUGACCUCUAGUGAAGUCCUUAUAUUUCACCCAUUUUCUUGGAAGGUCCUCGUGUUGCACCCAUCUUUUUGCAGAUGAUUCUUUUGACGUUACGCGCGACUUGAUUUAUGGUCUGCAGGUUUAUUCGCAAAUUUGAGUCACGGCCCCGUGGCAUUUUACUUGAUAUUAGAACGAGUACGGGAGGUGCAGUGCGCACGCACAAGGAAACAAAUGACGGGAGGAGGAAGAAAAGAGAAGGAGUGUAUGUAUUUGAAGCGCACAAUUACACAAGUGGCAUCAUACCAGCACUAAUGCACUGGAUCCCAUCAGAACUCUGCGGUUAAUUGUGCUUGGGCGAAAGUAGUACUCGGAUAGGUGACCUCUUGGGAAGUCCUCGUAUCGCAACAAUUUUUUUUCAGAUGGGUCGUUCGACGUUACGCACGACUGGAACUAUGGUCCACUGGUUUAUACGCAAAUGUUAGUCAAGAAUCAGGGGCAUUUUAAUCGAUAUUAGAACGAGAAGGAGAGGUGCAGUAUGAACGCACAAGGAAACAAAUGAUGGGAGGGGAGGAGGGAAGAAGGAGUAUAUGUAUUUUCAUCAUGAAAUUAAACUGGUGCGGGUCACACCAGCACUAAUGCACCGGAUCCCAUCAGAACUACACAGUUAAGUGUGCUUUGGCGAAAGUAGUACAAUGAUGGAUUACCUCCUGGGAAGUUAUCGUGUUGCACCCAUUUUUUUUUUUUCAGAUGUGCCGUUCGACGUUACGCGCGACUUUAAUUAUGGUCCGCAGAUUUAUUCUCAAAUGUGAGUCACGGCGCCGUGGCAUUUUACUUGAUAUUUGAACGAGAACGAGAGGUGCAGUGCGCACGCACAAGGAAACAAAUGACGGGAGGGGGAAGAAAGGAGAAGGAGUGUAUGUAUCUGCAGCGCGAAAUUAAACAGGUGCGAUCUUACCAGCACUACAGCCCCGGAUCCCAUCAGAACUCCGCAGUUAAGUGUGCUUGGGCGAGAGUAGUACUCGGAUCGGUGACCACUUGGGAAGCCCUCGUGUUGCACCGAUUUUUUUUCGGAUGGGUUGUUCGACGUUACGCGCGAAGGGAAUUAUAAACCGCUGGUUCAUUUACAAAGGUGAGUCACGGUGCCAGGGCAUAUUACUUGAUAUUAGAACGAGAAAGAGAGAUGCAGAGUGCACGCACAAGGAAACAAAUGACGGGAGGGGGGAUGGGAGGAGAAAGAGUGUAUGUAUUUGCAGUGCAGAAUGAAACAUGAGGGAUCAUACCAGUACUAAUGCAACGGAUUCUAUCAGAACACCGCAGUUAAGGGUGCUUGGGCGAGAAAAGUACUCGGAUGGGUGACCUCCUGCGAAGUCCUUAUAAUUUCACCCAUUUUCUUGGGAGGUCCUUGUGUUGCACCCAUCUUUUUGUAGAUGAUUCUUUCGACGUUACGCGCGACUUGAUUUAUGGUCCGCAGAUUUAUUCGCAAAUGUGAGUCACGGCGCCGUGGCAUUUUACUUGAUAUUAGAACGAGUACAGAAGGUGCAGUGCGCACGUACAAGGAAACAAAUGACGGGAUGAGGAAAAAAAGAGAAUGAGUGUAUAUAUUUGAAGUGCAAAAUUUUAACAAGUGGCAUCAUACCAGCACUACUGCACUGGAUCCCAUCAGAACUCUGCAGUUGAGUGUGCUUGGGUGAGAGUAGUACUCGGAUGGGUGACCUCCUGGGAAGUCCUUGUGUCACACUAAUUUUUUUUUUCAGACGGGUCGUUCGAGGUUACGCGCGACUGGAACUAGGGUCCACUGGUUUAUACGCAAAUGUGAGUCAAGAAGCAGGGGCAUUUUAAUCGAUAGUAGAACGAGAAGGAGAGAUGCAGAGUGCACGCACAAGGAAACAAAUGACGGGAGGGGGGAUGGAGGGAGAAAAAGUGUAUGUAUUUGCAGCGCAGAAUGAAACAUGAGCAAUCAUACCAGCACCAAUGCAACGGAUUCUAUCAGAACUCCGCAAGUUAAGGGUGCUUCGGCGAGAGUAGCUCUAGGAUGGGUGACCUCCUGUGAAGUCCUUAUAUUUCACCCAUUUUCUUAGGAAGUCCUCGUGUUGCACCUAUUUUUUUGCAGAUGAUUCUUUCGACGAUACGCGCAACUUGAAUUAUGGUCCUCAGCUUUAUUCGCAAAUGUGAGUCACGGCACCGUAGCAUUUUACUUGAUAUUAGAACGAGCACGGGAGGUGCAGUGCGCACGCACAAGGAAACAAAUGACAGGAGGGGGAAGAAAGGAGAAAGAGUUUAUGUAUUUGCAGCGUGGAAUUAAAAGGGUGCGAUCAAACCAGCACUAAUGCACCGGAUCCCAUCAGAACUCCGCAGUUAAGUGUGCUUGGGCGAGAGUAGUACUCGGAUGGGUGACCUCCUGGGAAGUCCUCGUGUCGCACAAAUUUUUUUUCAGACGGGUCGUUCGGCGUUACGCGCGUCUGGAACUAGGGUCCGGUGAUUUAUACGCAAAGGUGAGUCAAGAAGCAGGGGCAUUUUAAUCGAUAUUAGAACGAGAAUAAGAGGUGAAGUGUGAAUGCACAAGGAAACAAAUGACGGGAGGGGGAAGAAAGGAGAAGGAGUGUAUGUAUUUGCAGCGCGAAAUUAAACAGGUGCGAUCACACCAGCACUAAAGCUCCGGAUCCCAUCAGAACUCCGCAGUUAAGUGUGCUUGGGCGAGAGUAGUACUCGGAUGGGUGACCACUUGAGAAGCCCUCGUGUUGCACCUAUUUUUUUUCGAAUGGGUUAUUCGACGUUACGCGCGAAUGGAAUUAUAAACCGUUGGUUCAUUUGCAAAGGUGAGUCACAGUGCCGGGGCAUAUUACUUGAUAUUAGAACGAGAAAGAGAGAUGCAGAGUGCACGCACAAGGAAACAAAUGACGGGAGGGGGGAUGGAAGGAGAAAAAGUGUAUGUAUUUGCAGUGCAGAAUGAAACAUGAGGGAUCAUACCAGUACUAAUGCAACGGAUUCUAUCAGAACUCCGCAGUUAAGGGUGCUUGGGUGAAAAAAGUACUCGGAUGGGUGACCUCCUGCGAAGUCCUUAUAUUUCACCCAUUUUCUUGGGAGGUCCUCGUGUUGCGCCCGUCUUUUUGCAGAUGAUUCUUUUGACGUUAUGCGCGAAUUGAUUUAUGGUCCGCAGGUUUAUUCGCAAAUGUGAGUCACGGCGCCGUGGCAUUUUACUUGAUAUUA